UACGGAGGGUGCAAGCGUUGUCCGGAUUUAUUGGGUUUAAAGGGUGCGUAGGCGGCCUUUUAAGUCAGUGCUGAAAUACUCUAGCUUAACUAGAGGGGUGGCAUUGAUACUGAAAGGCUUGAGUGAAGUCGAGGUAGGCGGAAUUGACGGUGUAGCGGUGAAAUGCUUAGAUAUCGUCAAGAACACCGAUAGUGAAGACAGCUUACUAGACUUCAACUGACGCUGAGGCACGAAAGUGUGGGGAUCAAACAGG
rnacentral:rRNA from 1 species